rnacentral:rRNA from 1 species
GACGAACGCUGGCGGCGUGCCUAAUACAUGCAAGUUGAGCGCUGAAGGUUGGUACUUGUACCAACUGGAUGAGCAGCGAACGGGUGAGUAACGCGUGGGGAAUCUGCCUUUGAGCGGGGGACAACAUUUGGAAACGAAUGCUAAUACCGCAUAAAAACUUUAAACACAAGUUUUAAGUUUGAAAGAUGCAAUUGCAUCACUCAAAGAUGAUCCCGCGUUGUAUUAGCUAGUUGGUGAGGUAAAGGCUCACCAAGGCGAUGAUACAUAGCCGACCUGAGAGGGUGAUCGGCCACAUUGGGAAUGAGACACGGCCCAAACUCCUACGGGAGGCAGCAGUAGGGAAUCUUCGGAAAUGGACGAAAGUCUGACCGAGCAACGCCGCGUGAGUGAAGAAGGUUUUCGGAUCGUAAAACUCUGUUGGUAGGGAAGAACGUUGGUGAGAGUGGAAAGCUCAUCAAGUGACGGUAACUACCCAGAAAGGGACGGCUAACUACGUG